UACGGAGGGAGCUAGCGUUGUUCGGAAUUACUGGGCGUAAAGCGCGCGUAGGCGGCUUUGCAAGUUAGAGGUGAAAGCCCGGAGCUCAACUUCGGAAUUGCCUUUAAAACUGCAUCGCUUGAAUCCGGGAGAGGUGAGUGGAAUUCCGAGUGUAGAGGUGAAAUUCGUAGAUAUUCGGAAGAACACCAGUGGCGAAGGCGGCUCACUGGACCGGCAUUGACGCUGAGGUACGAAAGCGUGGGGAGCAAACAGG
rnacentral:rRNA from 1 species